AGCGGAAGAGAAAGGGAGAUCGCUCCCGGAAGUUAGCGGCGGACGGGUGAGUAACACGUGGGUAACCUGCCUGUAAGAGUGGGAUAACUCCGGGAAACCGGAGCUAAUACCGGAUAGUUCCUUGAACCGCAUGGUUCAAGGAUGAAAGACGGUUUCGGCUGUCACUUACAGAUGGACCCGCGGCGCAUUAGCUAGUUGGUGGGGUAAUGGCUCACCAAGGCGACGAUGCGUAGCCGACCUGAGAGGGUGAUCGGCCACACUGGGACUGAGACACGGCCCAGACUCCUACGGGAGGCAGCAGUAGGGAAUCUUCCGCAAUGGACGAAAGUCUGACGGAGCAACGCCGCGUGAGUGAUGAAGGUUUUCGGAUCGUAAAGCUCUGUUGUUAGGGAAGAACAAGUGCGAGAGUAACUGCUCGCACCUUGACGGUACCUAACCAGAAAGCCACGGCUAACUACGUGCCAGCAGCCGCGGUAUACGUAGGUGGCAAGCGUGUCCGGAUU
rnacentral:rRNA from 1 species